GUGCAAUGGCUGCUGGGAUACACCCUGUGCUCGCUUUGAAUCUCAAACAAGCAAGUGAACACAGCUGGUGGUAUCCAGUGGCCAUUUUGCA
rnacentral:pre_miRNA from 14 species